AUAUACGCUCGUCUCAAAGGUUAAGCCAUGCAUGUCUAAGUACAAACUAAAAUAAAGUGAAACCGCAAAAGGCUCAGUAUAACAGCUGUAAUUUCUUAGAUCAUAUUCCCAGUUACUUGGAUAACUGUGGAAAAUCUAGAGCUAAUACAUGCAAUAAAUACGAGGAACCGUCAAAAGUUUCUCGUGCAGUUAUUAGACAAACCAAUCGACCCUCGGGUUGUUUUAUAUGGUGGAACUCUAGAUAACUUUGCUGAUCGUAUGGCCUUGUGCCGACGACAGAUCUUUCAAAUGUCUGCCCUAUCAACUUUUGAUGGUAGUAUAGAGGACUACCAUGGUUGCCACGGGUAACGGGGAAUCAGGGUUCGAUUCCGGAGAGGGAGCCUGAGAAAUGGCUACCACAUCUAAGGAAGGCAGCAGGCGCGUAAAUUACCCACUCCCGGCACGGGGAGGUAGUGACGAAAAAUAACAAUAUAGAACUAGUUAACUAUGUUCUGUAAUUGGAAUGAAUCAAGUAUAAAUCCUUUAAUGAGGAUCAAGUGGAGGGCAAGUCUGGUGCCAGCAGCCGCGGUAAUUCCAGCUCCACUAGCGUAUAUUAAAAUUGUUGCGGUUAAAACGUUCGAAGUUGAUUGUUGUCCAGUACGGGUGUGGCACCGCUUAGUGCGGUUGCUAUCAUUUCCGAUGACUUGGACUAUAUGACUGAACACUAAAUGAAUAGCAUUGAUGCCUUUAACUAGGAUAGAUGUCUAUUUAGUUCGGCUUACUUUUACCUUGAACAAAUUAAGGUGCUCAAAGCAGGCUCUAAUGCCUUGAAUAUUUUUGCAUGGAAUAAUGGAAAAGGACCUCGGUCUUAUAGAUGCGUAGCAGCAAUGUUGCGUAU
rnacentral:rRNA from 1 species